AGAUGCGAUCAUACCAGGACUAAUGCAUCGGAUCCCAUCAGAACUACGCAGUUAAGGGUGCUUGGGCGAGAUUAGUACUAGGAUGGGUGACCUCCAGGAAAGUCCUCGUGUUGCAUCCC
rnacentral:rRNA from 1 species